rnacentral:rRNA from 1 species
AAUGAACGCUGGCGGCAGGCCUAACACAUGCAAGUCGAACGGAUCCUUCGGGAUUAGUGGCGGACGGGUGAGUAACGCGUGGGAACAUACCCCUUGGUACGGAAUAGCCUCGGGAAACUGGGAGUAAUACCGCAUGUGGUCGAGAGACGAAAGAUUAAUCGGCAAAGGAUUGGCUCGCGUUGGAUUAGGUAGUUGGUGAGGUAAUGGCCUACCAAGCCGACGAUACAUAGCUGGUUUGAGAGGAUGACCAGCCACGCUGGGACAGAGAUACGGCACAGACUCCUACGGGAGGAAGCAGUGGGAAAUCAUAGACAAUGGAGGAAACCCUGAUCUAGCCAUGCCGGGUGAUCGAUGAAGGCCUUAGGGUUGUAAAGAUCUUUCAGGUGAGAAGAUAAUGACUGUACCACCAGAAGAAGCCCCGGCUAACUCCGUGCCAGCCGCCGCGGUAA